CUGCCUUGUAUUUGCAUAUUUAUGAACUAGAGAUUACGACAGGCUAUUCCAUUUAUUAGAGCAGUGCUGCUAUAGUUAAUAGUCUGUCAGUAUUUCCAUUAUAAACCCCGUUUUUCAGUGUUUUAAUAUCUCAGCCAUUUAAAAUCGCAUCAGGAAGCAAGUUGGUCUUAUGUUGUCAGCCAGGUGCAAUUUUUUGUUUUGGAUUAUUUUCAAUAAUGAAAUACUGUUCAUCAUAUAUGCAAAUGAGCCAGAGCAUUUCUGUUAGGUGGAAAUUACAAAGUGCGUAAGUUCAUUGUGGCUUUCUUUUUCUUUAGGAAAUAAGGGAAAAGGCGGAUUUGACCGAUCACGUCGAUGGGGGCUUCAUGUUGGAAGAAUGGUUUCCUCAAGCAACGGCUCUCAGGGUAAACACUGGUUCUCAAGGUGAAAUCAGAUUGCUGUGUGCUUGCCAGCGGUGACCAAGGUGUAUAGGUGAGGAUGGUUCCCCUGUCCCACAGAAAUUUGUUGUCUGCCAGAGUCAUGGAUGAAGCACACCAGAUUCCUUCCAGAAUUGCCAUUGCAAAAAACAGUCUUCCUUCCCAGGCUCGUCACAGUGCUUUUUCAGCCAAAAAUUAUCUCUGGUCAUGGCAUGGACCAUAGUAGAUGAUGCUGAUAAUAUUGCCCAAAUAGAUUAUCUUCCAUCUCUCGAGGGACUCAGGCUUCUUCAUGAACAUACAAAUAGGAGACAGAAACCAGAUAUAAAGAGCUCUUUGUCCACUCAUGGCAUGAAACAACCCCAAAAGGGACAGGUGACAAUUGCUGAAUCAUGCACCAGAAUAAUUGAAUGCAGAAAAUCAGCAUGA
ensembl:lncRNA